rnacentral:lncRNA from 1 species
ACUGACAUUUUGAGAGCUCAAAAAACGGGCGACUCAUGAAAACUCCGGUCUUAUAAAAGCGAAACCUUAUACUGAUCUGAUCGUUCAGAGGAUCGCGAUCCUUUUUGUGCUCUUGAAAUAUUCUUUCUUAUUUCUCAACGCGGCUUCAGCUUUUCAACCAGAAUCCAUACCAUACCUUGCCAUUUUUGCAGUGAUUCAUGUAUAUCAGUAGGUAAUCAUAAGAUAAGUACCAGAAUAUUAUUCUUACAUUUUCAGUGCGCAUCUUUCGCUUACAAUCAGUGUGAAUUUAAGCCGAAGAUAUUCGUAAGGAAACAAAUUCAGGCAGCUAAAGAUUGGCAUGCGACAUUGGUGGAGGAAAAGGGGGUUUUCAGAAAUAGGAAGGAGGACGAAAUCGGGCUGCAGUGGAGCUCUGUGACACUGAGGUAGGUAAAGGAAAGCGUCACGCGACCAGCACCAGAGUUAGGGGAGCUUCAACACGACACAACGGAUCAGUCAACCAUGUGGACCGUUUCUGUGAUCUUCCUCGCACUGGGUUUUGUUGCUUCGACUCGCGGUCAUCCAGCAUCAGGGUCAAUCGCUCGUCUUCCAGAAGCGCUCUCCGAUACCGGGGAUCGGACACCACCAACUCUCCCGGACGCGGAUGUAUUCGGCAACGACCCGCUAGCCGUGGAAAUCGGACACCCGCCAACAUCCGGAAACAAAUCCGUCGCAUCGGAAGCGGAAAAACAUGAAGCCGGGGAAGCAUUGAGCAAGGCGGGCGUGGCUGCAAUCGGAGGGCUGAAAGGAACCCUGGGGUUCUUCGUGGAACCCGAAAAACUCCAAGCGGAACCGGAGAGGGAGAGUUUGAAACCCACGGUUCCCCGGAAUUGUGGACGGAGCAAGCUAGUUGGCACCCUGACAGAGGGGCAGCAACUGAUACGGUGACGUCUGCGGUUGGCCCGGUUGAGCAAGGAGACGCCCGCUCAGAGCCGGCACCCAACAGCGAUCUGAAGAUGCGUAUGAACGCUAGCCCGGUUCAACAUGUCGGAUUUACAAUCGAGCGACGAAGGGUUGAGCUGAAGCCCGGAAAAACUCAAACUGCAACGGAGGAGGGAGUCAGUCAAGAAUCUGAGGCAGGACAUCGUCUGGAACCGCGAGCAGCGAGGACCGCCACCGUACAAAUCCAAUUUCCCGUACCCAACCUGAGCCCCGCGAUGCAACGCAUACGACAGGCUGGUGAUAAGCUGCAGCGAGACGCCCUAAACGGAAUCACCAACGUAGCUACACACAAACCCGUCAUAGACGGGCAUGUUCACGGGGGAAAUGCCUUCUGGUUGCUCCAUAAAGGGAAGAGAUGGCUUAAAAGGUUCUUAACCGGUUUCGUCUUACUCUUCCAGCACCAGUACGAGAGGCCCUCAAAACUGCCAAAGCUGCUCUUGAGAUCAUUUAAUGAAAUGGGACAAUAUCAUCUUUAA